GUGGGGAAUAUUGGACAAUGGGGGGAACCCUGAUCCAGCCAUGCCGCGUGUGUGAAGAAGGCCUUUUGGUUGUAAAGCACUUUAAGCGAGGAGGAGGCUACCGAGAUUAAUACUCUUGGAUAGUGGACGUUACUCGCAGAAUAAGCACCGGCUAACUCUGUGCCAGCAGCCGCGGUAAUACAGAGGGUGCAAGCGUUAAUCGGAUUUACUGGGCGUAAAGCGCGCGUAGGUGGCCAAUUAAGUCAAAUGUGAAAUCCCCGGGCUUAACUUGGGAAUUGCAUUCGAUACUGGUUGGCUAGAGUAUGGGAGAGGAUGGUAGAAUUCCAGGUGUAGCGGUGAAAUGCGUAGAGAUCUGGAGGAAUACCGAUGGCGAAGGCAGCCAUCUGACCUAAUACUGACACUGAGGUGCGAAAGCAUGGGGAGCAAACAGGAUUAGAUACCCUGGUAGUCC
rnacentral:rRNA from 1 species